AAAAACAUGUCUUAUUGAAUUAUUUUAUAAUAAGUCUAUUCUGCCCAUUGAUAAAUUUUUUAAAAGGCUGCAGUAAUUUAACUGUACAAAGGUAGCAAAAUAAAUAGUUUUUUAAUUGAAAACUAGAAUGAAAGAAUUAAUAAAAUAUAAAUUGUCUCAAAUUAAUUAUAUUAAAUUUAAAUAAAAAGUUAAAAUGCUUUUAUUAUUUAAUAAGACGAGAAGACCCUAAGAAUUUUAUAAAUUAAUAAUUAAAAUUAUAUUAUUAUGAAUAUUAUUUUUUUAUUAAAAUUUAUUUUAUUGGGAGGAUAAUUAAAUUUUUAAAACUUUAAUUAUUUAUAAACAUUGAUAAUUGAAUUUAAAUGAUAAUUUUUAUAAUUAUAAGUAAUAAUUACCUUAGGGAUAACAGCGUAAUAAUUUUGGAGAGUUCUUAUUGAUAAAAUUGUUUGCGACCUCGAUGUUGAAUUAAAAUAAAAAUUAAAUGCAGAAAUUUAAAUUUUUAGUCUGUUCGACUAUUAAAAUUUUACAUGAUCUGAGU
rnacentral:rRNA from 1 species